CGUAGGUUGAAAACUGCGGGGAUGAGCUGUGGGUAGGGGUGAAAGGCCAAUCAAACUCCGUGAUAGCUGGUUCUCCCCGAAAUGCAUUUAGGUGCAGCGUCGCAUUAGCUUGGUGGAGGUAGAGCUACUGGUUGGUUGAGCGGGACUACAAUCUUAGCAAUGUCAGCCAAACUCCGAAUGCCAUUAAUGUGUUGUGCGGCAGUGAGACUGUGGGGGAUAAGCUUCAUAGUCGAGAGGGAAACAGCCCAGAUCGCCGGUUAAGGCCCCUAAGGGUGUGCUAAGUGGAAAAGGAUGUGGGAUCGCGAAGACAGCCAGGAGGUUGGCUUAGAAGCAGCCAUCCUUGAAAGAGUGCGUAAUAGCUCACUGGUCGAGUGGUUCUGCGCCGACAAUGUAGUGGGGCUCA
rnacentral:rRNA from 1 species